rnacentral:rRNA from 1 species
CUUUGGAGCUUGCUUUGGAGAUUUCUAGUGGCGGACGGGUGAGUAACACGUGAGUAACCUGCCUUGAAGUGGGGGAUAGCCCGGGGAAACUCGGAUUAAUACCGCAUAUGGUCUUCGGAUCAAAGAUGGCGUAAGCUGUCGCUUCGAGAUGGGCUCGCGGCCUAUCAGCUAGUUGGUGAGGUAACGGCUCACCAAGGCGACGACGGGUAGCUGGUCUGAGAGGACGAUCAGUCACACUGGAACUGAGACACGGUCCAGACACCUACGGGUGGCAGCAGUCGAGAAUCAUUCGCAAUGGACGCAAGUCUGACGGUGCGACGCCGCGUGGAGGAUGAAGGCCUUAGGGUCGUAAACUCCUGUCAUCAGGGAGUAAGGCUUUAUAUAGUAACUGAUAUAAGGAUUGAUAGUACCUGAAGAGGAAGGGACGGCUAACUUCGUGCCAGCAGCCGCGGUAAUACGAAGGUCCCAAGCGUUGUUCGGAUUUACUGGGCGUAAAGCGUCUGUAG